CCUACGGGCGGCUGCAGUGGGGAAUAUUGCACAAUGGGGGAAACCCUGAUGCAGCGACGCCGCGUGAGUGAAGAAGUAUCUCGGUACGUAAAGCUCUAUCAGCAGGGAAGAAAAUGACGGUACCUGACCAAGAAGCCCCGGCUAACUACGUGCCAGCAGCGGCGGUAAUACGUAGGGGGCAAGCGUUAUCCGGAUUUACUGGGUGUUAAGGGAGCGUAGGCGGCAGCACAAGUCUGGCGGGAAAUCCCGGGGCUUAACCCCGGAACUGCUGUGGAAACUGUGCGGCUGGAGUGCAGGAGGGGUAAGCGGAAUGCCUGGGGUAGCGGUGAAAUGCGUAGAUAGUAUGAGGAACACCGGUGGCGAAGGCAGCUUACUGGACUGUAACUGACGUUGAGGCUCGAAAGCGUGGGGAGCAAACAGGAUUAGAUACCCUGGUAGUC
rnacentral:rRNA from 1 species